rnacentral:rRNA from 1 species
UAGGGAAUAUUGCUUAAUGGGCGAAAGCCUGAAGCAGCAACGCCGCGUGUGCGAUGAAGGCCUUCGGGUUGUAAAGCACUUUUUGCUGGGAAGAGGAAGGACGGUACCAGCAGAAUAAGCCUCGGCUAACUACGUGCCAGCAGCCGCGGUAAAACGUAGGAGGCGAGCGUUAUCCGGAUUUACUGGGUGUAAAGCGCGUGCAGGCGGUUUGCUAAGUUGGGUGUGAAAGCUCCUGGCUCAACUGGGAGAGGUCGCUCAAGACUGGCAGACUAGAGAGCAGUAGGGGAAGGUGGAAUUCCGGGUGUAGUGGUGAAAUGCGUAGAUAUCCGGAGGAACACCAGUGGCGAAGGCGGCCUUCUGGACUGCAUCUGACGCUCAGACGCGAAAGCUAGGGUAGCAAACGG